AUACUCUGAGAAUACACAGAGAGUACACCAAAGAAGGCACUUAGAAUACACAGAUAAUUGACUGCACAAGGCACAGAGAAUGCACAGAGAAUACACAUAGAAUACAUAGAAAAAACACAUAGAAUACACAGAGAAUACAAAGAGAAUACACAUUGAAUACACAGAUAAUACACAUAGAAAACACAGAAUACAAAGUGAAGAUACAGUAUUCUCCUCUUGCUCUUGAUUAGGUUAGGCAUGCAGAUAGCUAACAUGAAGUUGGUCUCUUGAAAUAAAAGCCCAGGAUAUGUGGAACAGUUUAGGUCUUAGAUGAAACUUGGAAAACUGUAAAAACAUACAAAACAUGAAUUUACAAUCUGCUCAUGUGAAUGAAUAUACAUUAUACAAAGCUUCGAUAAGAUAAGCAAUAGAAUUAACCACUAAGUCUUCGGGCCAUUUUUGGACAUUUUUUAGGUUUUGCACUGCCCUACUCUAGAGAGCACACUGUAAAAACGAAAACUUAAAAUUGUUGGUCUCAUUAUGAUUUCUGAGUAAAAUGAAUAUAAAACAUUAAGUAUUCAUGUCAACUGUGCAAUGCAAUUUAGUCCAACCAACAAUGUUGAGUUUUGGGUCAAGAGUUGGGCUCACUGUAGCUGGGCCAACUACGGUGCACAUGCGCAUUUCGACACUACCCCCCGGGGAGUCUGGGUAUUCGUGAUGCCGGUUGGGAAAAAGGGGUUUAUUGCCUUUUGUCAAUUUGUUUCUGUUAGGUUAAGUUGGGUUAACGGGUUUGGGGUCUUUAUUGUUUGUGUGUUGUUUAUUGUGCGUAGUGUUGCCGCCACCGUUA